rfam:Myotis lucifugus cont2.25380, whole genome shotgun sequence.
GGCAGUUCUCGAGUGAUGCACCCUGGAAUCAGGCUCCCUCCUCUCUGGUUCUGGGUUGCGCUCAUCACCCGAGAACCACU